AUUCUUCAGAUCGCAGUCAUUAGCCAACAUUUUGAGACUGCUCUUUGGUUACUAAAAAAUUACCCAUAUCUUGCGAAUAGAAAGGAAAGCAAUGGACUCACAAGUCUUCAAUUGCUAGCCCAAAUGCCAUCUGCCUUCCAACCCAAAUUUCGCCAAAGCAUAUGGAAGAAGCUCAUUUAUAAAUGCCUUUUUGAUGAUGACAACAUUGAUUGGGACCCACCAAAUCAAAACU